UACGUAGGGUGCGAGCGUUAAUCGGAAUUACUGGGCGUAAAGCGUGCGCAGGCGGUUUUGUAAGCCAGAUGUGAAAGCCCCGGGCUUAACCUGGGAAUGGCAUUUGGGACUGCAAGGCUUGAGUGCGGCAGAGGAGACUGGAAUUCCUGGUGUAGCGGUGAAAUGCGCAGAUAUCAGGAGGAACACCGGUGGCGAAGGCGGGUCUCUGGGCCGUAACUGACGCUGAGGAGCGAAAGCGUGGGGAGCGAACAGG
rnacentral:rRNA from 1 species